rnacentral:rRNA from 1 species
UACGUAGGGUGCGAGCGUUGUCCGGAAUUACUGGGCGUAAAGUGUGCGCAGGCGGCGUUGCAAGUCGAGUGUGAAAGCCCCGGGCUUAACUUGGGAAUUGCGCUCGAAACUACGAUGCUGGAGUAUGGCAGAGGAAGGUGGAAUUCCACGUGUAGCGGUGAGAUGCGUAGAGAUGUGGAGGAACACCGAUGGCGAAGGCAGCCUUCUGGGCCAAUACUGACGCUCAUGCACGAAAGCGUGGGGAGCAAACAGG